rnacentral:misc_RNA from 1 species
GAUGAAGAACGUAGUGAAAUGCGAUAAGUAGUGUGAAUUGCAGAAUUCAGUGAAUCAUCGAAUCUUUGAACGCACAUUGCGCCCCUUGGUAUUCCAUGGGGCAUGCCUGUUCGAGCGUCAUUUGUACCUUCAAGCUCUGCUUGGUGUUGGGUGUUUGUCUCGCCUCUGCGUGUAGACUCGCCUUAAAACAAUUGGCAGCCGGCGUAUUGAUUUCGGAGCGCAGUACAUCUCGCGCUUUGCACUCAUAACGACGACGUCCAAAAGUACAUUUUUACACUCUUGACCUCGGAUCAGGUAGGGAUACCCGCUGAACUUAAGCAUAUCAAUAAGCGGAGGA